rnacentral:rRNA from 1 species
UACGUAGGGUGCGAGCGUUGUCCGGAAUUAUUGGGCGUAAAGGGCUCGUAGGCGGUCUGUUGCGUCGGGAGUGAAAACUCAGGGCUUAACCCUGAGCCUGCUUCCGAUACGGGCAGACUAGAGGUAUGCAGGGGAGAACGGAAUUCCUGGUGUAGCGGUGAAAUGCGCAGAUACCAGGAGGAACACCGGUGGCGAAGGCGGUUCUCUGGGCAUUACCUGACGCUGAGGAGCGAAAGUGUGGGGAGCGAACAGG